UAAACAUUGGCAUUUAGAAUAACCAGGGCCUGUAAAAGAAAACUGGUACUUGUAGCUGAAGCCAGUGUGAUCACGGCAAUUCCAUUCUGGCUCUGAAUGGGUGGCUGAUGCUAAGCCAGGCUGGAAAGCACAGAGUGCCAUGAACCUGCUUCAUUCUGCCACACACACUCCAUCUGGGAGGUGUUUUACCAGGACAGCCAUGUGUGCCUGGGUUAUCGGGACCUUGAGGCUUGCUGCAUCAACAUUUAAUGAGCUUUAUGUAUCCCUCACAACAGAAUAAUUCUCCUCUCCGAAGCCAUGGUCAUUUUCAGCCUUGCCUCUGCCUCCCUCCUAGUGCCAGCAAGACUGUGCCUGGCAUUUCUGAACUACUGCCGCCUUCCAGUCUUGAGUGACACAGAGGCCGUGCUGUCUGCUUUAGCUGCAGUAGCAAAUUUGCCAUGGAACCUUGAUUGCUUUCCGAUAUCAUUUCCAGGUUAGCCGUCCAUGCAUGAUGGAUAGCCCAUCCUCAAUUUGGGGUCGACAGAUGAUGUGACCCCCGCCGGCUGUGCUGCUUGAGGGUGCACUUGCCUCCCUCAGGAGUGUCAGUGUCUACACUCAGCCUGAUUCUCAUUCAUAUCUAAACCAGGAGAGAUUCUAGGCAAGCUGAAGGUCACCAUGGGCAUCCACAGUGGAAGCUAGAUCCUCACUAACUGCCAGACAAGUCUAUGCUAGGCUACAGAGGCGAUAUGAAAGAGAACUACCCAGUCCUUCAGAACAAGGCUGGGCUCAGAGGCCAGAGCAGACAGGGGAUGGGAGUGCUCAGACCCUCACGUGCAGUCUGGGUUUAAUGUUCUGAGCUAGUGUUUUCCAGUCUGACUCACGGAGGAUUCUUCUGACAAACUGGUCUCCUACCUCUCUUCUGCCUACCUACCUUUGGUCUCAUCUUGGGAGCUUUGACAUCUGAUAGAUGCAAAGGAGAAAGCUCUCAGGAGCACCAGCUCUGCCCUGCUCCACAUUGCCCCUCCCAGUGCAGCAGGCUGGUGAUUCAGUGCAGGUUUUUGUUAAGGUGAAGCUCUCGAUGCUGCAGGUCUGGUGUUUACACAGCCUCCAUUGAUGGUUUUCUAAGUUUCUGACAGAUUCAAGUGAUGGUGUCUGUGGAGGAUGCCCUUAGGUUGGGGGUUAAAAGUAUGCUUAAAGUAAUAAUGCUAGACAAGCCUACAACCCAAGAUGGCAGUGCUAUGUUGGCCAACAGAUGAAGCUUAGGUCUAUGGAACACAAUAGAGAAGCAAGGCAAUGGACCUUCAGCAAUGUGGCCAAGGUGACGGUGUUGGCCAACAGAUGAAGUGUAGGUCUAUAGAACACAAUAGAAAGACAAGCAAUGGAUCUUCAGCAACAUGGCUUGAUUGAUUUUCGACAUACAAAAACAAUUUCCUGGCGUGAAGACUGUGUUCUGAGAGUGACCCAAAAUGUAAAUAAUGGUGAACCUGAGCAAUGCAUCCCUUACACAAAAUUUGUCAAAUGAACAACAGACUUAAGAGCAGAAUAUAAUGCUGCAAACUUUUAUUGAAAAGUCACAAGAGAAACUUAUUAAGAUCUAGGGAGAAGCAUGCAGUUCUUAAACUUAGCACCAAAAGUAUGAUCUUUAAGAUAUCAGAAACCACCCAACAACGCACAGUGUGUCUUGGAAAUCCAGUGAAGAGUACAGGGAGGACACUAGAGUGGGAGAGAAUAUCUGUACUAUAUAGAUAGAGGGCUAGAGUCUAUAAUACAUGAAGACCCCUCUUAACUCAGUGUAAGUAAAAGAAAUAAUUGCACAAUGGGAAAAGGGUAUUUCAACUACAGAGUCUGAAAAUGUCAGCAGUGCACGUGCGAAGAUGCUGAACCCUGUUAGCCAAUAAGAAGUGUAACGGUACCACCACACUCAGCUAUCCUGUCGAGACACACUAUGGUAAGGCUGCUGAGACUGAGUCCUCCAUUGCAUAUGAUGGGAAUGUGACAUGAAACACUCUGGAAAACAGCUUGGCAGGUUCCUGUAACUGUCUACACAGUCACCACAUGAUCCAGAAAAGUCACUCAGACAUUUCUCCCAGAGAAAUAAAACAUUAUAUUUGUACAAAACCCGUGUAUGAAUAUUCAUAGAUGCAUUACUUAUAAUGGCUCCAAAAUGGAGAAAAAAAACCCACAUGUCUUUCAAUGAUCAAAUGCUUAAAUAAAUUGAGAGACAUAUGCAGGAUGGAAUAUAGCUCAGCAAUAAAUGACAUUGCACUUCGAUAUGUUUAAUCAGAUGUGGGAAAUCUCUAGAGAAUUAAGCACGGGGAAAGAACCUCAAGUCCACGGUUUACACCCUUGAUGAUUUUAUUUACAGAUGAGUUAAUCUUCACUGUCAACUUAUCUGGACUGAGUAGAUGUGUGAAAGCAUUUUAGGAGAAAUUCAAGUGCAGAGGGAAGACUCCAAAUGUGGGUGCUACCAUUCCCUGAGCUGGGGAACUCACAGAGGAAGGAUAGGUACCCUAAGCAGUUGGCUGCCAGAAGAGCUCCUGUGGGUCAUUUGGCAACAGGAGCAGCAGAGAAGAAUCGGGCGCUGUGACAGUCCAUAAGCUUUCCUUGAUCACAUGAAUCUACACUUUCUGCUCUGACCUAGAGGACUGGCUUUGACUUUUCCUGGGGAGGUGGGAGGGUGGACUUUUCUGUGCACCGAGAAGGGGAGUGGCUGUGCUGCAUGCAGGGUUUCUUCCUCCUUCAACAUGACUCUGUGAUCCUGCUUUUUCCUGUCUAUGAGCAAAAAGCUGAGGCACAGAACACAAACUUAGAGCUAAUCUCAUCAUAAGAAACAAAGGUCACCCCACCCAGAGCAAACACAGCUUUAUUACUUCUGAUGGGGGCUAUCCUGAACCUUAAAUUAGUUCCUGGGAAAGAGAAGUUGUUUGCCUGUUUCCUCCUCUCACUUAAACCAACAGUGGCGCUCUCUGAAGAGAGUGCUCUCCGCCGAAUUCUGGUAUUUCAAUAAAUUCCAAUGUGCUGCUAUAGUAACUGUCUUAGCUAUGAUUAAUGUCGGAACAUUAGGAGAGCAUGUUAUUAUUAUUCUAAAUUAGGUUUUGCUUGAAUUAAUUUUUAUGCAUGGUUACUAAGAUGUAAAAGACUUUCUGAAUUGCAAAUUGUAACAUCCCUGCUUUGGGGGUGAGAUUGGAAACACAGGAGCCCUCCUGCUGGAAGGAUUUCCAGUUAGAGUAUUUGCCUAAGGGCCAACAUAUUAUUUAGUUAGUAGCCUGCUAAGAAAAUGCAGCUUGACACCAUGGAUCCUUUAGUUAACGGUGCUUUGCAUCACCACCUGAGCCUACUUUGUGGAGAAACACAAUAGAUAUCAAUAUGCUGUCACGUUCAUGAUGUGAGGAGUAGGCGAAGAGUCAGGCUGCCCCAAUGGAGCCCACGCAUGUCACUUUAUUUUCUCUUUUGAAAUCUUUAUACCAAAAUGAUGGGACUCACACGCUGGAAAUCGUAGUCGAAUGCUUACUGGGCACUUAGCAGACCUCCGAGGCUGCCUUUUGCUGCUGUAAUAAAACACCAGCCAAAAGCCACUUGUGGAGGAAAUGGUUUAUUUCAUCUUACAACUUCCAGGUCACAUUCCAUCACUUAGAGAAUUCAGGGCAAGAACUCAAGGCAGGACCGUGGGCACAGGACUGGAAGCAGAGGCCAUGGAGGAGUGGCGCUGACUGGCUUGCUCAUUAUGGCUUACUCAGGCUGCUCAGACGAUGGCAAGUAGGUCAUGGAAAUAUGGACUGCAGGUUUGAGUGAUGUUGGGAGCAGAGACCGGAGAGAAUUAGCUGAAUGUUGUGUGAGUGAAAAAGAGUUUUCUGAUGUAGUGAAAAGAGAAGACCUUGGGAAUGCCAAACCCCAGCUUCCUAGUUCUGGUUAAUCAGUUGAAUUAGAUAGUUGGACAGGGAACCAUGGAGUUGGGGAGGCCCGGGUCAGGAGUAGGCCCUGGGGGCUAUUCAGUCUGGUAACACCAGGAAGCAGAGGCUUGGAUAUUCACUGAACUGAAACCUGAACUUUGUGAGACCCAAGUGUGGUGGCAAGCUUUAAUUGUCAGCUUGAAACAACCUAGGAUCGCCUGGGAAUUCCUCAUUGAGGGAUUGUCUUUAUCAAGUUGGCCUAUGGGCAUGUCUGUGGAGAAUUGUCUUGUUUGCCUAAAUGACUAUGGAAGGCCCCAUUUCAUGGGAUGGUCACUGGACUGUGCAAGAGUGGAGAAAGUGAGCUGAGUACCAGGAAGUUUGUGUGCACUCACUGCUCCCUGUUCUGGUCUACGAUGUGAGAGGACUUAACACUUCAAGUUCCUGCCGUUUUUUCCACUAUGAUGGAACAUUUGUUACCUGGCACUAUGAAGGGAAAUAAACCCUCUCUUCCCUAAGUGGCCUUUUGUUAGCGUGUUUUAUCACAGCGACAGAAAUGCAACUAGUGGAAUAACAUUGACAGACACUCAGCUUGCAUCCCUAUUUCUGUCUCCUCAGAGGAGUUCUGUCUAAGAAAUCAUGCAGCGCAUAAAUGUGGAUCUAGGUUUGGACACUUCUCAACCUCAGGUAUUUGAGAUGCACAUGUUACCCUGCCAGGAGCUCAUUGGUUUUUAUUUCUGCUUGAGAAAGGUGAGUAACAGUGGGCAGGACCCGAGGGGAGGCACCUCUGCCCACCUCCUGCCUGGUCAACCUCCUAGAUCAGGCGCUUGCUAUUUUGGAAAAUACACUCAAACACUUUUUGUGCCUUUUCACUUUCAUGUCUUUUGGGUAAACACCAAGGUUUCCAGAACCUGAGGGUAAGAACAUCUUUAAUUUUAUGAGAAACUCCCAGGUAAUUUUCUCUUUGAAAAAGAUGCGAUAGGGAAAAACAGAAACUCUCGUGCUUGGCGGCGGCUUCGCUCCUGUAUUUAUUAGUUCUGGCUCUCUCUUUCCUGUAGAUCACGGUUCUUACUUGUUAUCGGUGCUCUGCAGCCCAAGGCACUUUCCUCGUGUCCCUACCUCUGUAAUUAGCUGGCAAUAAAUCGUCUCAGAUUUUAUUUGGUUGAAAAUAUCUUCACUUAAUGCUCCCCUUGAAAGGUCUUUAGGCCAGGUAUAGAAUUCUGGAUUGAUUUCUUUUCCUCCAGUAGUGGAGAAAUCAUUGGAUUGUUUUCAAGGGUCUUCUGUUCCAGAGAGGGAUUUGUGUUACUGUGUUCCUUUUGAAUUUAGUUGUUUGUCUUCCUUAUCUUUCAGGAGCCAUCAGCUGCCAAGCUCCGUGUUUUCCAGUAUUCUUGAGGGUUGGCUGCAGGAUGAGGUUUUCCCACCGUCCAGAUCCAGAUUUCAGGCAUCAAGCUUUCAUGGAUACCAGGCAGGAGUGGGGCAGAGCCUCAUCACUGUCUUAGAUGCUCAGCUCUCACCUUUAGCUGCAGCCGGAGCCCCGAGGGCUGAGAGGAGGGCCGAUGUCCAUCAAGAAUGAAAGGCAAUGCCUGAGGUUCCUGGAGCUGCCAAGGCACAGCACCGCAGAUCCAGAUCUGGACAACACAGGGGCUUUAUGAAGAGUGGAAAUGAAGAAUUUUCAAGCCAGUGCCAGUGAAGUCUGAGACCAGAUGAAGGAUCCCAUGUGCGUGCUCUUGUGGCUUGCCUCUGAAGAGGAGAGGGGCCAGGCAAAGCCCUGAGGUGACUCAGUGGAAGGAGGGAGCAGCGAACAAUGGACAGCUCAUACCCACUCAAUAGUAUCUCCUUAACUUUACCGCAAGCAUGUGGGAUUCUUUGUGCUGGUGUGGCACACAGGUGUUUCCUGUUCACUCCCCAUGCAUGGGGGCUGGUGUGCCACAUUUCACAGGUGUGCACAGCUGAUGUUCCCGCCCACAGAGCCUCACGUGGCAUCUGUCGC